UGGGGAAUAUUGCACAAUGGAGGGAACUCUGAUGCAGCGACGCCGCGUGAGUGAUGAAGGAAUUCGUUUCGUAAAACUCUGUUCUAUGGGAAGAAAAGGACUGUACCAUAGGAGAAAGCUCCGGCUAAAUACGUGCCAGUAGCCGCGGUAAUACGUAUGGAGCGAGCGUUGUCCGGAAUCAUUGGGCGUAAAGGGUGCGCAGGCGGCUUUACAAGUUGGAUGUGAAAUAUUGUGGCUCAACCACAAACGUGCAUCCAAAACUGCAACGCUUGAGUUAAGGCGAGGUAAGUGGAAUUCCUGGUGUAGCGGUGGAAUGCGUAGAUAUCAGGAGGAAUACCGGUGGCGAAGGCGACUUACUGGACUUAAACUGACGCUCAGGCACGAAAGCGUGGGGAGCAAACAGG
rnacentral:rRNA from 1 species